rnacentral:tRNA from 1 species
CACCUCGCAAAGUGUAACAACUCAUGAAUUAAAAUCCCUCACCAAAAGCCUCCACUUUUGAGAUAACCAUUUGUCAAGUGCUUUUUGUGUAAGUGUGA